rnacentral:lncRNA from 1 species
UGCUGCAGGGAUUUUAUUUCUUGCAAAACAGACUGGUUAAAGUCCCCGUCUUUGCUGGGUGCUGGAGGGAAUAUUUUACAACUAAGUUAAGAAUGUGAAUUGAGGCUUGCAUGGCAUUUCCAGUGUAACUGAUGUUUUACGUGGGAGUUUGUUUAGGUAGUAGACUUGAUGCAAAAGUCAAAAAAAUAAUGUUUUAUUGGUACAAAGGAAUUACAGUUAAAACUAUAAAAGUCCCUACUGUCAUGAUGGAGCCCCUUUUGACCUUCACCUUCUUAGGAAGCCAGUGAGAAGUCUGGGCAAGUGGUUGUGCUCUGAGGCUCUUACCUCCCUCCUCUGCUGUGCUCACCCUGGUUUGUCCCCAGAUGCAGUCAGACUCGCACAGAUGUGCUCUGCACCUGAAGGCUCCCUGCGUGCCGCGGCACAGAUUCCCACUCCCCCCUGUUCCCACCGCUAGCCCCAUCCUCACCCCCACCUCCUCUCACUGCUUAGCGAACCUGGUCUCCUGUGUUUUCUCUGCUCUUUAUUCCGUGUCACCGGAGCUGAGUGACUGCUGAAGAUGAGAGGGGAUGAGGAGUGUGAAUAGGGAAGCUCCUGCCUUUGGUCUGAGCCUGACGGGGAAUGAUGAAAACCACAUGGGCUAUGAAAAAGUCCAGUCCAACCCUGUGUUUACCGAGCUCCCUAGAAACGUCAACAUCUGUCACCGAGAAACCCCCAAAAGGGGCACCUCUUGCUGCAGGACCCUUGGUGGCAGGUCCCAUCCCUCUUCCCCGAGCCCGGGCCGGAGCUGAGGGGUGUUGACAGAGGGAGAGGGAGGUUAUCGGGGAUUUGCUGAUAGCUGCAUUAAUACACAAAGGAGCCCAGAAGCGCGAUGCCCUUCUCUCGGUUCUGCGGUGCCACUUCGGGCUCAGGCAGCCACCGGGGCGGGGACCCCCGGGACCCCCCCGGUCCCUCCCGGCCCGGCUGUGCGCCUUGUCCCGGUGAAGACGGUGCAGGCACCGGGGAUCCCGGCCCCGCCGCCCCUCGGCCGGCUCCCUCGGUUCCUGUCACGGUGCGCACAACGAAUUUUCCUUCUAUUAGUCACUUCCCGAAGAUCAAACCCGAGGACAGCUGGGAAUGCAAUCGAUCCCUCCAAAAGGCGUUAGCGGAGCGUUCAAUCAAAUUUACUAAGCUGGCGCAGAACUGCAGAGGGAAAACAAGCAAAGAACGUUGUUCCCAAGCUUACGAGGAAAAUAUGCCGAAACGAUUAUUAUUCCCCCCCCCAAAAAAAAAAAAAAAAAGGGUCCCCCGGGCCGAGCGCGAUCUUAGGAGCGGGCGCAGUGCCCGGCCCGGAGAUGCUCGGCCGGAGGGGUCCCCGGGCAACGCCUUGGGGUGUCAGGGGGUCCCGAGCAGCAAUUUGCUGGUGAAAACCCGCUGGCCCCUCCAGCGUGAGCUGCCAUUAGAGAGGUACUAAUAAAUCCCCGUUAAGCAUGCAUUUAUGCAGCGAUUGCGUGAACUUUGGCCUCCGAAGGGUCCCUGCAAUUAGCAGCGCUGCGCCCGGGUUUCUCUCUCCUCUUUGCCCAGGGAGGACUGAAGGGGGGCAGGCAGCCCCCCGGCUCCUCCGGCCGCCCCAACUGACCCUUAUCUCUGCGGGGAUAAAGCCCCGAGCAUCCCUUCCCUUACCCCAGCACCCCCCGUGUCACCCCUCUGGGAAACGCACGGUCCCCGCGUGGGAAGGUGCGGGGCAGCCCCGAGCGGUGCGGGAGCGGCCGCUGCCUCGGCAAAAGAGCGGCUGAGAGCCAAAAAAUAGCGCUGGGCUAAAAGGGGAGGAAAGUUGCCGCUGCCGGGGUGACUGCGAGAGGGACGGGGAGAGAGGGAUGGCUCUGUAAUUGUUGCCUUUGCCGAGGCUGCGAGAUUAAGCACUGGGACUUAUUUUAAAGUGACCCAUCACUGAAUUCAUUUCUGCUUGAACUUUCGGUGAACCUGAGAUUAAAGAGGGGAGAGCAGCUAAGCAGUUUGUUGUUAGCUGCCUUUUCAACAGCCCUUUCAGACUGAGUAAAUAUUGAUCGGUUUCAAUCUGAUUGCCCCAGAGGAAAACACCAAAGCAUCUCAAUAGCCUCCAAAAGUAAACUUUAAAGGUGAACAGCAGAAUUGGCCUUAAGUAUGAUAGGAAGAUGCUAAACUCCGUUUGACAUUUGAACGCGGCUUGGUUGUUUGGUGGGUGGUUUGGGUUUUUUUUUUUUGGUUUGCUUUUUUUUUUUUUUUUCAUUUUUCCCCUGAGACUGUAGAGAGAAAAAUAGAAAAAAAUGGUGUAAAAACAAAAGGAUCCCUACAACCUGAAGGGCAG